CGUGUAGGCGGUUACGUAAGUCUGAUGUGAAAGCCCGGGGCUUAACCCCGGAAGUGCAUUGGAUACUGCGUAACUAGAGGACGAGAGAGGGAAGUGGAAUUCCUGGUGUAGGGGUGAAAUCCGUAGAUAUCAGGAGGAACAUCAGAGGCGAAGGCGACUUCCUGGCUCGUAUCUGACGCUGAGACGCGAAAGCGUGGGGAGCAAACAGGAUUAGAUACCCUGGUAGUCC
rnacentral:rRNA from 1 species